AUUUCUGAUGAGGAUCAAUUUCAGUAAAACUUUCGUUCUUCUUCUGAUGAACAAUUCUACGAGGAAUGCUUUUUUGAAGACCUGAACCGAGGAGGA